rnacentral:rRNA from 1 species
UACGUAGGGGGCAAGCGUUGUCCGGAUUUAUUGGGCGUAAAGAGCGUGUAGGCGGUUUGGUAGGUCCGCUGUGAAAACUCGAGGCUCAACCUCGAGACGCCGGUGGAAACCAUCAGACUAGAGUCCGGAAGAGGAGAGUGGAAUUCCUGGUGUAGCGGUGAAAUGCGCAGAUAUCAGGAAGAACACCCGUGGCGAAGGCGGCUCUCUAGUACGGUACUGACGCUGAGACGCGAAAGCGUGGGGAGCGAACAGG